rnacentral:rRNA from 1 species
AGCGAACGCUGGCGGCAGGCCUAACACAUGCAAGUCGAGCGCCCCGCAAGGGGAGCGGCAGACGGGAGAGUAACACGUGGGAACGUACCCUUCAGUUAGGAACAACCCAGGGAAACUUGGGCUAAUACCGGAUACGCCCGAAAGGGGAAAGAUUCAUCGCUGAAGGAUCGGCCCGCGUCUGAUUAGCUAGUUGGUGGGAUAAUGGCCCACCAAGGCGACGAUCAGUAGCUGGUCUGAGAGGAUGAUCAGCCUCCCUGGGACUGAGACACGGCCCAGACUCCUACGGGAGGCAGCAGUGGGGAAUAUUGGACAAUGGGCGCAAGCCUGAUCCAGCCAUGCCGCGUGGAUGAUGAAGGCCCUAGGGUUGUAAAGUCCUUUCGGCGGGGAAGAUAAUGACGGUACCCGCAGAAGAAGCCCCGGCUAACUUCGUGCCAGCCGCCGCCGUAAAGC